GGCGAGGAACUGAGCUCAGACUGGCAUCGUACAGGGCUUGCUCGGUGACAAGCUCCUUCUGCUUCAGCACCAAGAUGUCCUUCAGAUGGUGGAAGUCUUCUCGGUCCCCGACCUCCACCCGACUGUUCUCAUUUGGUUGGGUUCGGGGGUCCCCCCAGUGGGAAGGGAACCCCCAGGGAACGAGAGAAGAGAUGAAGAAGAACUGGUUCUUCCAUCCAUGAAUCGAUGAUGGAAGACCCGUGAUAAAGGAGAGACCCUUCCGAGGGUUGAAAUACCACCACCCUCGAGCUUUAAGGUCGGGUCGGAGAACAAA
rnacentral:lncRNA from 1 species